AACGCACAUUGCGCCCUCUGGUAUUCCGGAGGGCAUGCCUGUUUGAGUGUCAUUAAUCUCUCACAAGACCAUUUGGUGUCAAAACCGCCUGGUCUCUGUUGAAGUUGGGACGUGCGAUCCUCAGGGAUCGCUGUCCUCAAAUGGAUUGGUGCGGCCCGCCGCCCGGUUACACAACGUUCUAGGUUCGUCCAACUCGUUGCUCUCCGGUGCAUUCAAGGUGCCGCACCUAAAGCCCGCCUCGUGCCCCGUGCUCUUGGCAUCUUCAUUUAUUGACCUCAGAUCAGGUAGGAAUACGCGCUGAACUUAA
rnacentral:misc_RNA from 1 species